rnacentral:tRNA from 1 species
AUUAAGAUGUCUGAUUAAAGUAAUAAAUUGUAAAUUUAUUUAAGAAAUAAAUAUUCUCUUAAUA